rnacentral:rRNA from 1 species
UACGGGGGGAGCAAGCGUUGUUCGGAUUCAUUGGGCGUAAAGGGCGCGUAGGCGGCUUGGCAAGUCCGACAUGAAAUGUACCGGUUCAACCGGGGCACUGUGUCGGAAACUGCCUGGCUUGAGGUCGAGGGAGGAGAGUGGAAUUCCUGGUGUAGCGGUGAAAUGCGUAGAUAUCAGGAGGAGCACCGAUUGCGAAGGCAGCUCGCUGGGACGUAACUGACGCUGAGACGCGAAAGCUAGGGGAGCAAACGGG